UACGGGGGGGGCAAGCGUUGUUCGGAAUUACUGGGCGUAAAGGGCUCGUAGGCGGCCAACUAAGUCAGACGUGAAAUCCCUCGGCUUAACCGGGGAACUGCGUCUGAUACUGGAUGGCUCGAGUUUGGGAGAGGGAUGCGGAAUUCCAGGUGUAGCGGUGAAAUGCGUAGAUAUCUGGAGGAACACCGGUGGCGAAGGCGGCAUCCUGGACCAACACUGACGCUGAGGAGCGAAAGCGUGGGGAGCGAACAGG
rnacentral:rRNA from 1 species